GGGAAUAUAGCUUAGUGGUAAAGUGCUUGCCUAGCAUGCAUGAAGCCCUGAGUUCAAUUCCUCAGUACCA
rnacentral:tRNA from 1 species